CAGGUUACCAAGGAGUGUUGAGAGCGGAAGGAACAGGCAGGCAGUUGAGAAAGCCGCCUCAGGUCUGGUUUUGAUAGAACCAGAGAAUAUGGGUUGGAGUUGGUGUGGGGAGCAUGAGUAGGUUUGUGACCUUAUAAAAGAGACCCAGAGAGUUCCCUGGCCUCUUCUGAUGUGUGAGGUGUCAACAACACGAGGGUUCCCAAAAGACCAGGACCUGCCUGCCUCUUGAUCUUGGACUCGCCAAUCCUCAGAACAAUGAGAAAGAAAUCCUGGUUGUUGGCUCUUCCAGUCUAAGGCAUUUGGUUGCCGCAGGGGUGAUGGACUGAGAAAAUAACUUCAAGACUUGGGGGCCGACAGCCACAGGGUCAGCUUCACAGCGAAGGUUCUGGAGAGUGAGCACUUUUCCUUCUGUGGUCAGCAGCUGCUCCUCAAAGUAGAGGAGCUGGUCAACUUCAAAGCAGUCGCUGGCCCGAGGAACCACGGUCUCCAGGUGCUCCCGGAUCUCUGCUUCACAGGCCUUCUGGUGCCUUGCUCUCUUGAGGUAAUCGUAGACCUCCUCAAACACUUCUGUUCCUAGCUUCUGCAUGGCUGAUCUGCCAAGAAAGGAAACAUUUGCAGCGAGGAAUCAUCGAGUGGACAACUCAAGUCUCAACAACAUUUAUACAUGUUGAACAGCCCAAGGUUGGGCAGGCAUUGGGGACAAGCAAGGACCAGAGACCCAGUUACCAGGCUUAUCAGGCACUGAUUCCAAGGCUGGAUAAUGGCACCUGAACACUGAGAUCAGCAGCAAGGCUGCCCAGUUUCCAAAGCCUGUGUGCUUGGCUGACUCAGACCCGAAACUCACUUCAACUCCCAGCAAGCACUUCCUCUCUCCUCGUCUGACCUCCAAACCCACUCCCUUCUCCACCUGAGUAAAGACCUAAGUCAAGAUCUCUUCACUUAGCCUUUGUUAUACUUUCUAACCCUAUUUAGUAUUGGCUAUUAUUUUUGUUUUGAAACAAUCUUAUGUAGCUCAGGAUGGCUUCAGACUCUAUGUAAUUGAGGCUGGCCUUGAACUCUGACCCUCUUGCCUCCAUCUCCUGAGUCCUGUAUUGACACCAGUAU